AUCCGCAUGAGCAGUGGCAACGGUACCCGAGUCUGCUUUUUGCUCAAGUCGCCAACUGGCACUCCAGCCGAUUCUCCUCCCUGCGACUACGAGUAGCGUCAAGAAAACCUAGUAUUUCCGAGCAGGAAGAUGACCCAGAUGUUAGGGUCCAAGGGUUAAAGGCUGAUGCAAGUGCUCCAUGGACCACGGGAGGACUAAUACACAUCUUGCAGAGGUGGAAAAGUCGAAGAAUGCAGGGUGCUGCGGAGCAAAAGACGACUCGGGGAAAACCGGAGUGCAGUGUGUUCAUGCAAGUUUGGGUGAGUACGUUCAAUGUUUUUUAUUUCAUGACGUGUUCAGAUGUUGAAAAAAAGAGUGACAAUGCAAAAUGUAGUCUUUUAAAUACACACUGUAUGUUUUCUUGCAACUCUUAGCAGAAUUUCAAAUGAGCCAUGUUUAUUCAUAGGCACAAUUGCUGCUUAUCAUUUUGUUUUUGCAUCCAGGGAAAAUGCUGCUACCACAAAAUUAAGAGUUUUGCACAUCAUCAUUACUCAACUGUGACUUCAUUUAUUCUAUUGAAAUAUAAAACAAAUGUCCUCAUGCAUAUUUCUGGGUCUUAAGAAGGUGAAAUCAUUUAUCGUAAAUUAUGGUGGAAACAAAUAUUUGGUCAAUAACAGACAUUGAAUUCAUUCCUUUGUAAUCUGAAUUUUUGAGGCGAUAAUAGAGGUCAACUGUUACCUGUUAGUCCUUCACCAGAUUUGCACACAUUAUAUUUAGUGUUUUGGCCCAUUCCUCCAUGGAUCUCUUGUCGAGCAGUAAUGUUUUGGUGCUGUUGUUGGGCAGUGCAGGCUUUCAAUUUUCGCCACAGAUUUUCUCUUUGGUUGCGGUCCAGAGACUUCCUUGGGGCUAGGCCACUCUAGGUCUUUGCAAUGCGUCAUCUGGAGCCACUCCUUUAUUGAGGGCGUUGUGUUUGGAUUCAUAGUCACACUGGAAGAUCCACUCGUUUCCUUUUUAAUGUUCUCAGUGAUAGCUUGAAAACUUCACAUGGGCCUGAACGUGAACUGGCUUAAGCAGAGGGACACAUCUGACACUGCAGGAUUUGAUUCCCAUGUCAGCGUAGUGUGCUCGUGAUGGUAACUUUUGUUAAAUUGGUCCCACCUCACUGCAGGUCAUUCACUAAUGUCAUUUGGGGAUUUUUUUGCUCACCAUUCUCAUGAUCAUUUUAAUCCAACAGGGAUGUUACCUUGCAUGGAGCACCCAAAUCAGCCCAGCUAAAUAGUACCUAUUUUCCACCAUUGUUUACAAAUAAAUUCUCUAGAAAUCCUAAAAUAUAAUUUUCUUUGCCAUUCUUAAACAUACAUAUUUGACACAUUGGCUAAAGCAGUAGAAAAUUUAAUUCACUUUUAACAUCAUUUGCAAACAAGACAAUCUCCAUUAUCAGUCUAAAUGAUUACUCUAGCAUGUAACCCCCCCUCCCCAAAACAAAACACGCACAACAUAUGCACACGUUUUAACUACAAUCUCACAUUACAGGACGGACAAUACAUCAUUAUUGUUUUUAAAACGAUCUGUACAUGAUUUCUUCACCGAGUUAAAAAAAAAAAAAUUAAAUAAAAUUACGAGGUGGGACAGAAAUUCAAAUCAAGUGAUUCACAGCAGAGAACAGAAACAUAA